CCCAAAUUCUACGGGAGGCAGCAUUGGGGAAUUUUGCACAAUGGGGGCAAGCCUGAUGCAGCAACCCCGCUUGAGGGAUGACGGCCUUCGGGUUUUAACCUCUUUUAGCAGGGAAGAAGCGAAAGUGACGGUACCUGCAGAAAAAGCGCCGGCUAAUUACGUGCCAGCAGCCGCGGUAAUACGUAGGGCGCAAGCGUUAUCCGGAAUUAUUGGGCGUAAAGAGCUCGUAGGCGGUCUGUCGCGUCUGCUGUGAAAACCCGAGGCUCAACCUCGGGCCUGCAGUGGGUACGGGCAGACUAGAGUGCGGUAGGGGAGAUUGGAAUUCCUGGUGUAGCGGUGGAAUGCGCAGAUAUCAGGAGGAACACCGAUGGCGAAGGCAGAUCUCUGGGCCGUAACUGACGCUGAGGAGCGAAAGGGUGGGGAGCAAACAGGCUUAGAUACCCUGGUAGUCCACCCCGUAAACGUUGGGAACUAGUUGUGGGGUCCAUUCCACGGAUUCCGUGACGCAGCUAACGCAUUAAGUUCCCCGCCUGGGGAGUACGGCCGCAAGGCUAAAACUCAAAGGAAUUGACGGGGACCCGCACAAGCGGCGGAGCAUGCGGAUUAAUUCGAUGCAACGCGAAGAACCUUACCAAGGCUUGACAUAUAGAGGAAACGUCUGGAAACAGUCGCCCCGCAAGGUCUCUAUACAGGUGGUGCAUGGUUGUCGUCAGCUCGUGUCGUGAGAUGUUGGGUUAAGUCCCGCAACGAGCGCAACCCUCGUUCUAUGUUGCCAGCACGUAAUGGUGGGAACUCAUGGGAUACUGCCGGGGUCAACUCGGAGGAAGGUGGGGAUGACGUCAAAUCAUCAUGCCCCUUAUGUCUUGGGCUUCACGCAUGCUACAAUGGCCGGUACAAAGGGCUGCAAUACCGUGAGGUGGAGCGAAUCCCAAAAAGCCGGUCCCAGUUCGGAUUGAGGUCUGCAACUCGACCUCAUGAAGUCGGAGUCGCUAGUAAUCGCAGAUCAGCAACGCUGCGGUGAAUACGUUCCCGGGUCUUGUACACACCGCCCGUCAAGUCAUGAAAGUCGGUAACACCUGAAGCCGGUGGCCCAACCCUUGUGGAGGAGCCUCGAAGUGAUCAU
rnacentral:rRNA from 1 species